CAGUGAUCCUGAACGAAGCGCGACUUCUAUCUCUGUACGCGUUUCUGUUAAUCCGAUCACUUCCGUUGAAGACACGCCGAUCGACCGUCGAUUGGACGUGAUGACAAACAUCUUUGGACACUUGUUGCUGGUGAUCGGUCUGAUCGCGAUGGCGAUCUACGCUGCGCCGCAGAGCGAAAUAGUUCCAACGUUCCAUCCGCGGAAGUAUCAUAUACUCGUGAUCUGCUGCGCCCCUAUUAGACGCUGCCCCCCCGGGCAGAAGAUGGACGCGGCGAACAAGUGUCGCAAGAUUGUACAAGAUUGAAUGCAGCAUGAAACGUUUUCGAAUACAAUGGACCAAGACUGUUGAAGUUUUGUACUCUAUAAUGUACACACUUUUCCACUAAGGUUCACGAAUAAAAAUAAAUUUCAAGUA